rnacentral:rRNA from 1 species
AUUGAACGCUGGCGGCAUGCCUUACACAUGCAAGUCGAACGGCAGCACGGGAGCAAUCCUGGUGGCGAGUGGCGAACGGGUGAGUAAAGUAUCGGAACGUGCCCAGUCGUGGGGGAUAACGUAGCGAAAGUUACGCUAAUACCGCAUACGAUCUAUGGAUGAAAGCGGGGGAUCGCAAGACCUCGCGCGAUUGGAGCGGCCGAUAUCAGAUUAGGUAGUUGGUGGGGUAAAGGCUCACCAAGCCGACGAUCUGUAGCUGGUCUGAGAGGACGACCAGCAACACAGGGACAGAGACACGGCCCAGACUCCUGCGAGAGGCAGCAGGGGGAAAUUUUGGACAAUGGGCGAAAGCCUGAUCCAGCCAUGCCGCGUGCAGGAUGAAGGCCUUCGGGUUGUAAACUGCUUUUGUACGGAACGAAAAGGUUUGGGCUAAUAAGCUGAGCUCAUGACGGUACCGUAAGAAUAAGCACCGGCUAACUACGUGCCAGCCGCCGCCGUAA